rnacentral:rRNA from 1 species
GACAGAGGGUGCAAACGUUGCUCGGAAUCACUGGGCGUAAAGGGCGUGUAGGCGGGAAGGAAAGUCAGAUGUGAAAUCCCUGGGCUCAACCCAGGAACUGCAUUUGAAACUCCCUUUCUUGAGUGUCGGAGAGGAAAGCGGAAUUCCUGGUGUAGAGGUGAAAUUCGUAGAUAUUCGGAAGAACACCAGUGGCGAAGGCGGCUCACUGGACGACUAUUGACGCUGAGGUGCGAAAGCGUGGGGAGCAAACAGG